rnacentral:rRNA from 1 species
UACAGAGGUGGCAAGCGUUGUUCGGAAUUACUGGGCGUAAAGGGCGCGUAGGCGGCCUUGCAAGUCCUGUGUGAAAGCCCCCGGCUCAACUGGGGAAUGGCACGGGAAACUGCGAGGCUUGAGUUCGGGAGAGGGAAGCGGAAUUCCGGGUGUAGCGGUGAAAUGCGUAGAUAUCCGGAGGAACACCAGUGGCGAAGGCGGCUUCCUGGACCGACACUGACGCUGAGGCGCGAAAGCUAGGGGAGCAAACGGG